AGGCUACACGUCCAUCCUUGAGCGUGGCCCUGCGGGAGGAAGGAGGCCGUGAGCGGGGUCAUCCGAGCUGCGUCAUCCUCGGGGCUGUGAGGUCUGCAAAGGAAGCAAUGUCACAUUCACUGCUGCACUUACAACACGGGCUGCGGUGUUUGGCACAUAGUGCCCUGAAAAAGAAUUACUAAGUUACCAGUACCACUGAUUUUAUUAAAUGGUUUACUUCUAAUAACUAUUAAAUGAUUUAUUUUUAUUAUAUCAAUAAGUAAAUGACUAAGUUUGGAAAA